UCGGAUCCACACCUCCGACCUUCUGGCUCCAAUCCACGCGAGGCGGCGGCGUGCGGCCUGCGACGCGAGGAGACGACGCGGCCGGCGAUGCGAGGAGACAGCGCGGCUGCUCACCGACGGCGACGGCGACGACGACCUCUUCCCAUCCGACGUCCUUCUCGCCGAUUGUACCAGCAGUUCCUAGGAUUGGUGAAGACGAGCCACCUCCUUCCUAGGACUUUGUUUUGACUCCGGAAGAUCAAUGAUUGGAUUCUAGACAUCAUUGGCUGUGCUCUACUCUUCAAAAGAAGUCAAUUUGCACUGUUUGUAGGUGUGGACUGGUUCAGUGAUCUUAUGGCAGCAUUGUGAUAUGGUUGUAACGGUUAUGAUCUUCUGAUGGCAACAUUGUGAUAUGGUUGUAAUAGUUUGUGAUCUUGAAAAGAACUUACACAACUUAUUUUUUAAAGUGAUCAGAGCAUACCAUUAGCUCAUUGAGCUUGUUUGGAGGAAAGAAUUAUCGAUUAGAUGUA